rnacentral:snRNA from 1 species
AUACUUACCUGGCAGGGAGACCAUGAUCACGAAAGGUGGUUCCAGGGCGAGUUAUCCAUUGCACUCCGGAGUGCCUGACCUGCGAUUCCCCAAAUGUGGGAAACUCGACUGCAUAAUUUGUGGUAGUGGGGGACUGCUUCGCGCUCACCCUGC